UACGUAGGGGGCAAGCGUUGUCCGGAAUCAUUGGGCGUAAAGCGCGCGUAGGCGGCCCGAUCAGUCCGCUGUAAAAGUCCAGGGCUCAACCCUGGAAAGCCGGUGGAUACUGUCGGGCUAGAGUCCGGAAGAGGAGAGUGGAAUUCCCGGUGUAGCGGUGAAAUGCGCAGAUAUCGGGAAGAACACCCGUGGCGAAGGCGGCUCUCUGGGACGGUACUGGACGCUGAGACGGCGAAAGCGUGGGGAGCGAACAGG
rnacentral:rRNA from 1 species